rnacentral:rRNA from 1 species
ACGCUGGCGGCAGGCCUAACACAUGCAAGUCGAGCGGUAACAGAAAUUAGCUUGCUAAUUUGCUGACGAGCGGCGGACGGGUGAGUAAUGCCUGGGAAUAUGCCUUAGUGUGGGGGAUAACUAUUGGAAACGAUAGCUAAUACCGCAUAAUGUCUUCGGACCAAAGAGGGGGACCUUCGGGCCUCUCGCGCUAAGAUUAGCCCAGGUGAGAUUAGCUAGUUGGUGAGGUAAGAGCUCACCAAGGCGACGAUCUCUAGCUGGUCUGAGAGGAUGAUCAGCCACACUGGAACUGAGACACGGUCCAGACUCCUACGGGAGGCAGCAGUGGGGAAUAUUGCACAAUGGGCGAAAGCCUGAUGCAGCCAUGCCGCGUGUAUGAAGAAGGCCUUCGGGUUGUAAAGUACUUUCAGUAGGGAGGAAGGCGUWGUCGUUAAUAGCGGCUUCGUUUGACGUUACCUACAGAAGAAGCACCGGCUAACUCCGUGCCAGCAGCCGCGGUAAUACGGAGGGUGCGAGCGUUAAUCGGAAUUACUGGGCGUAAAGCGCAUGCAGGUGGUUCAUUAAGUCAGAUGUGAAAGCCCGGGGCUCAACCUCGGAACCGCAUUUGAAACUGGUGAACUAGAGUGCUGUAGAGGGGGGUAGAAUUUCAGGUGUAGCGGUGAAAUGCGUAGAGAUCUGAAGGAAUACCAGUGGCGAAGGCGGCCCCCUGGACA